GUCCGCGCCAGCACAGACGACGGCGUGACCCUUUCAAGGUCGAGAUCGCGGGUUCGAAUCCCGCCGGGGUCA
rnacentral:tRNA from 1 species